rnacentral:misc_RNA from 1 species
GAUGAAGAACGUAGCGAAAUGCGAUAAGUAAUGUGAAUUGCAGAAUUCAGUGAAUCAUCGAAUCUUUGAACGCACCUUGCGCUCCUUGGUAUUCCGAGGAGCAUGCCUGUUUGAGUGUCAUGAAAUUCUCAACCUUUUCAGCUUUCUUUGUUGAUCAGGCUUGGAUGUGGGAGUAUGCGGGCUUCUCAGAAGUCGGCUCUCCUGAAAUGCAUUAGCGGGACCUUUGUUGCCUGGCUUUGGUGUGAUAAUUAUCUACGCCAUUGUGGUCAAGCAGCUUAAAAUGAGGUUUCAGCUUCUAACCGUCUCCCCUGAGACAACUUUUUGACAAUUUGACCUCAAAUCAGGUAGGACUACCCGCUGAACUUAAGCAUAUCAAUAAGCGGAGGU